AUGACUUUGCCCAAGGAAAAAAAAAACUAUCAAGCAGCGCUUCCCAGGCCCGGUAACAACAACUCCUCCUCCCACCCAUCACCCCCAGCUCUGCAAACCUGGGCUGAGCCCCGUGCAUGGGGAGCACCGCUCGGGGUGGGCAGGUGGGGGUGCCCGGGGCUGCAGGGACAGAGCUGGUGGUAUUUGGGGCAAAUCUGGGCAGAAAACUGGGUUUUCUUCCGCUUUCCUUUCGGCAGCAGUUUCCCACUGCGCUUCAGUGGGUGGUGGGGAGCUCUGGGGGCGGUGGCGGGGGACACUGUCACGCUGUCCCCUCGGUGUCUCCACGGUGUCCCCACGGUGUCCCCGGGCUGCCUGCCCUGCGGGACCCACUUGUCAUUCUGCCCUUGUCCUGUGCGGUGGCGAAGCAGCGCCCGGGCCUGCAGCCACGCGUUAUGCAUCAUGCAUUAUGCAUGGUGCACGCAGCGGCGGGGAGUGCAACGCACCCCGAGCAGUACGCCCUGCACCCUGGCCUGCUGUCACCCCGUGCGUGCACUGUCACCCUGCAGCCUGAGCUGCGUCACCCGCUGUUUGCACAAGGGAUGCUUUUGCACUGAGGGAGAUCUGCGCACUGGCGAUGAGCAUUUGCACGAGGGUCUUGCAUUUGCGCAAGGGAAUUGCUUUUACACGAGGGAACUGCUUUUGCCCUCAGGAGGAUGUGCACAUAGGGACACGUGGGGACACAGGGACCUCUCCUGUUGCUCUGCCAGCAGCUGCUGUCCCCUCACUGUCCCCGGUGCUCAUCCAUCACCGACACCACUGCGUGGCACAGAGCUGCCGCUGCAUCCACGCGUCCCCUUUGCUUUUUGUAGGGUUAUAUUCGAGGGGGAGCAGGGCAGAGGCAUAGCACCCAAAGCCACCUACACCCCUGCUGAGACCUGGAGAGCUCAGUGCAUCUCAGCUGGGCCUUGUUGGGGGUUCAUGGGGAAGGGGCUGAGGGAGUGGGGGCAGGGAGAGCUGAGAGCCCCAUGA
rnacentral:lncRNA from 1 species